UCCUGUGUGGCUCAGUCGGUUAAGCGUCUGACUUUGACUCAGGUCAUGAUCUCAUGGUACGUGGGUUCGAGCCCCGCGUCAGGCU
rnacentral:tRNA from 1 species